CAGUAGCCGCGGGAAUACGAAGGGUGCAAGCGUUAAUCGGAAUUACUGGGCGUAAAGCGUGCGCAGGCGGUUUUGUAAGACAGGCGUGAAAUCCCCGGGCUCAACCUGGGAAUGGCGCUUGUGACUGCAAAGCUAGAGUGCGGCAGAGGGGGAUGGAAUUCCGCGUGUAGCAGUGAAAUGCGUAGAUAUGCGGAGGAACACCGAUGGCGAAGGCAAUCCCCUGGGCCUGCACUGACGCUCAUGCACGAAAGCGUGGGGAGCAAACAGGAUUAGAUACCCGGGUAGUCCCUGUCUCUUAUAC
rnacentral:rRNA from 1 species